rnacentral:rRNA from 2 species
AUCGCCUCCCGCAAAAACCACAAUGUAUAGGAGGUCUUGCCUGCCCAGUGACUACAAGUUAAACGGCCGCGGUAUUUUGACCGUGCAAAGGUAGCGCAAUCACUUGUCUUUUAAAUGAAGACCUGUAUGAAUGGUGGAACGAGGGCUUAACUGUCUCCCCCUUCAAGUCAAUGAAAUUGAUCUUCCCGUGCAGAAGCGGGUAUAAUAAUACAAGACGAGAAGACCCUUUGGAGCUUGAGAUGCAAGACCAACUAUGUCAAGAAACCUUAAAAGGAUUAAACUAAAUAGUAACUGGCCCUCAUCUUCGGUUGGGGCGACCACGGGAGACAACAAAGCUCCCACGCGGACUGGGGUAAACCCCAAAACUAAGAGAGACAUCUCUAAGUCGCAGAAUAUCUGACCAAAAAGAUCCGGCUUCCUGCCGAUCAACGGACCAAGUUACCCUAGGGAUAACAGCGCAAUCCCCUUCCAGAGUUCAUAUCGACAAGGGGGUUUACGACCUCGAUGUUGGAUCAGGACAUCCUAAUGGUGCAGCCGCUAUUAAGGGUUCGUUUGUUCAACGAUUAAAGUCCU